rnacentral:rRNA from 1 species
AUUGAACGCUGGCGGCAGACCUAACACAUGCAAGUCGAGCGAGAGGCGGACGGGUGAGUAAUGUCUGGGGAACCGCCUGAUGUCGGGGGAUCACCACUGGAAACGGAUGCUAAUACCGCACCCAAUCAUAUAUGCCCAGAUUGGAUUAGCUAGUAGGUGGGGUAAAGGCUCACCUAGGCGACGAUCCCUAGCUGGUUUGGGAGGUUGACCAGCCACACUGGAACUGAGACACGGUCCAGAUUCCUACGGGAGGCAGCAGUGGGGAAUAUUGCACAAUGGGCGCAAGCCUGAUGCAGCCAUGCCGCGUGUGUGAAGAAGGCCUUCGGGUUGUAAAGCACUUUCAGCUGGGAUGCGUUACCCGCAGAAGAAGCACCGGCUAACUACGUGCCAGCAGCCGCGGUAAUUC